UGCACUUAGAGUUUUGAUCUCUACAGGGUGGGUUCGAGUCCCAUUUUUUUAGGAGAU
rnacentral:tRNA from 1 species